CCCGUCAGGGCGAGUAAAUCUCGCCCCGCCUGCCCCGUCCCAACAAACUCAUCCAGAGCUCGCCGCGACGACUACCUCCGUGGCUUCGUCAUCAUCGCUCCGCAGCCAAAAAAAUCUACGACGACUACAGCUCACACCACGUCGAUGGUCGCUGUUGCGGCGUCCCUCCCCCGUCUGCUCCGUCGUUCCCCGAUCUCACCGCCGACCGCAUAACCCCCGUCGCCGCAAAGAAGCUGCGCGCGCAUCUCCAGGCAUCACCCCCUGCGCUGUCUUCGACCUAUUCCUCUACCUAGACCCUCAACAGCGACACACCAACAGCGGCUUGAUGUUGCAGGUCGCUGCCAUCGAUAUUCGUUCUUCGCCACGACGACGGCCAUCGCCAAUCUUACACAUCUAGAACUCAUGAAAAGGAAAAUUGAGAGUAUUUUGAAGAGUCAUUUUGCGGCAGUUCGAUUUAGUGAUGUACUAUCAGGGCUCAAAGACAGGUGGGAAAUCUACAUCGUUCACCGUGGGUGCCAUAAUACUCUGGAAGUUGGCCCUUUAAUCAGGCCCGACCGGCUAGGACCAUGAUGGUUGCAUGAUCUACUCGAUGCCUUGAGGAGCUGCACGGAAGUCAAUUUGAUGGUCUCCUCAUCCAACGUGUACAGAAACAAGUAGGAAGCAAUUACCAAUUUGUUUCAAAGUGGACUUUUGACACAUGGAAGCAAAUUGACUUAGUAUUUCCAAAAAUCCUACUCCAUUUGAUAGUUGCAAUUUUCCAAUUUUCAAACAAAUCCCAAAUUUGUUUGAAGGAUAUGUAAAAGUGACAAUAGAAAUAGUUUUCUCUUUGGGAGUGAAAUACUAUUUGAUGGAAGCUAUUCUCUAGUCGAUGGAAAAGAUA